rnacentral:ncRNA from 1 species
GAGCAGUUUUAUUCUUGCUUUGUCGUUCAAUUUUUGUUUGUUUUAUAUGUAAGUUUUUGCGUGGUUUUCUUUUGUCUCUAGAUGAGGCAUGGGAUUUAAACAUUUAUUCUCAUUAGUUAUUAUUGGUUGGUCAAGUAUUUUUGUAUUUAGUAAUUCAUUUUAGUUUCGGUUAAAUUUUGUGCCAGCAGCCGCGGUUAUACCUUGGGGGCGUUUGAAUGUGUUCGGCAAUUGUAGUUUUAUGGUUUAGUUUGAUUGAUUUUAUUUUGGUGGUUUAUUAGGUGAAAUUUUUAUUGUUGUUUUUAUCUUUUGUUUAUUUGGAGGCUAUGAAAUUCUUUUUAUAGACUAGGAUUAGAUACCCUAUUAUUUUUGAACGUUAAUUUUGUUUGUCUGAGUAGUAUUAGUUAUGUUCUUGAAACUUAAAGAAUUUGGCGGUAUCUUAUUCCAUCCAGAGGAAUCUGUCCCGUUAUCGAUAGUCCGCGUUGGACCUUACUUGGAUUGCUUUGGUUUGUAUACCGCCGUUUAUUGAUUAUCUUUGUAGAGCUGCCUAUAAUUUUCUGGUUUCUUUAUUUUGAUUUAUUUCAGGUCAAGGUGCAGCUUGUUUCUAAGUGGGUGAUGGAUUACAUUGGUAUUUGUUUAGUUGGAUUGUUGGUUUUAAUAUUGGCAUGAAAUUGGAUUUGGUUGUAAUGUUUUGUAGAUUGUUUUCAUGAUAAUUGGUUCUGGGAUAUGUACACAUCGCCCGUCGCUCUCGUUUGUUUUAAUGAGAUAAGUCGUAACAAAGUGGUUGUACCGGAAGGUGCGGCUGGGAUUGA